rnacentral:rRNA from 1 species
ACGCUCGACACCUACGGGAGCAGCAGUGGGGAAUAUUGCACAAUGGGGGAAACCCUGAUGCAGCGACGCCGCGUGAAGGAUGAAGUAUUUCGGUAUGUAAACUUCUAUCAGCAGGGAAGAAAGUGACGGUACCUGACUAAGAAGCCCCGGCUAACUACGUGCCAGCAGCCGACGGUAAUCUGAGGCGGGCGUGGACGAAGGC